rnacentral:sRNA from 1 species
UGCUGUCACAGGCCUCAGGAAUCCCAAAGGAGAACUAGCAGGUGUUCUGAUGAGGAACGUCCUUCAACCAGCCGAGCCUGUGUUGUGAAUGGCCCGGAUGAAGUAGCCAAAACAAAGCCACGUCACGCCAUGAAACGGAAGCGGACAGCAGAUAAAUCCACCAGUACAAGUGAUCCUGUGAUCGAGGAUGACCAUGUGCAGGUUCUUGUAUUAAAAUCCAAGAAUCUUGUUGGAGUCACUAUGACCAAUUGUGGAAUCACAGAUCUAGUGCUAAAAGACUGUCCGAAGAUGAUGUUCAUCCAUGCUACCAGGUGCAGGGUACUAAAACAUUUAAAAGUAGAAAAUGCACCAAUUGUAAACCGAUUUGACUAUGCACAGUGCAAGAAACUGAACAUGGAUCAGGUACUAGACCAGAUACUAAGAAUGCCACCCGAGAGAAACCGCAUCAUAUACCUACGCCCAAUGCAGCAGGUGGACACUCUAACUUUGGAGCAGAAGCUAUUUAGUGGUCCCUACCCCUAUCACAUCUGUAUUAUCCAUGAAUUCAGUAACCCUCCCAAUGUCCGGAAUAAGGUGCGCAUUCGCAGCUGGAUGGACACUAUAGCAAACAUCAAUCAAGAGCUCAUUAAAUAUGAAUUCUUCCCUGAAGCCACUCGAAGUGAAGAAGACUUAAAGAAAUACCCCAAGUACCCCUGGGGGAGAGAAAUCUAUACUUUAGAAGGUGUUGUGGAUGGAGCUCCAUAUUCCAUGAUUUCUGACUUCCCUUGGCUGAGGUCAUUACGAGCUGCAGAGCCCAACAGCUUCGCUCGAUACGACUUUGAAGACGAUGAAGAAAGUAAUUAU